GAUGAAGAACGUAGCGAAAUGCGAUACGUAAUGUGAAUUGCAGAAUUCAGUGAAUCAUCGAAUCUUUGAACGCACAUUGCGCCUGCCAGCACUCUGGCAGGCAUGCCUGUUCGAGCGUCAUUUCAACCAUCAAGCCCUAGGCUUGCGUUGGAGCCCUGCGGCUGCCGCAGGCCCCUAAAAGCAGUGGCGGGCUCGCUAUCACACCGAGUGCAGUAGAUUACUCUUCGCUCAGGGCGUUUGGCGGGUUCCAGCCGUGAAACCCCCUACUUCUCAAGGUUGACCUCGGAUCAGGUAGGAAUACCCGCUGAACUUAAGCAUAUCAAUAAGCGGAGGA
rnacentral:misc_RNA from 1 species